GGGAGCGGAGCGGAGCGGGACGCCGAGUCCGGAGCGGCCGGCGGCCGGGGCUCCCCGCCCCUCCCUCCUCUCCGGCGGCGGCGGCGGGCGGAGUGAGCUGCGGAGCCUGGAAUAUGGUCGGGGAAAUGGAAACGAAGGAGAAGCCGAAGCCCACCCCAGAUUACCUGAUGCAGCUGAUGAACGACAAGAAGCUCAUGAGCAGCCUGCCCAACUUCUGCGGGAUCUUCAACCAUCUCGAGCGGCUGCUGGACGAAGAAAUUAGCAGAGUACGGAAAGACAUGUACAAUGACACAUUAAAUGGCAGUACAGAGAAAAGGAGUGCAGAAUUGCCUGAUGCUGUGGGACCUAUUGUUCAGUUACAAGAGAAACUUUAUGUGCCUGUAAAAGAAUACCCAGAUUUUAAUUUCGUUGGGAGAAUCCUUGGACCUAGAGGACUUACUGCGAAACAACUUGAAGCAGAAACAGGAUGUAAGAUAAUGGUCCGAGGCAAAGGCUCAAUGAGGGAUAAAAAGAAGGAGGAGCAAAAUCGAGGCAAGCCUAAUUGGGAGCAUCUCAAUGAAGAUUUACAUGUACUGAUCACUGUGGAAGAUGCUCAGAACAGAGCAGAGAUCAAACUGAAGAGAGCUGUUGAGGAGGUGAAGAAAUUACUGGUACCUGCAGCGGAGGGAGAAGACAGCCUGAAGAAGAUGCAGCUGAUGGAGCUUGCAAUUCUCAAUGGCACCUACAGAGAUGCCAACAUUAAAUCACCAGCCCUUGCCUUUUCUCUUGCAGCCACAGCCCAGGCCGCUCCAAGGGUUAUCACGGGGCCUGCGCCCGUUCUCCCGCCAGCUGCCCUGCGCACCCCUACGCCAGCUGGCCCUACCAUAAUGCCUUUGAUCAGACAGAUACAGACCGCUGUCAUGCCAAACGGAACUCCUCACCCAGCUGCUGCGAUAGUCCCUCCAGGGCCUGAAGCUGGUUUAAUCUACACGCCCUAUGAAUACCCCUACACGUUGGCGCCAGCUACAUCGAUCCUUGAGUACCCUAUUGAGCCUAGCGGGGUAUUAGGUAUGGCUUUCCCAACGAAAGGCUAAGAAUUCAAGAACGGUCUUAACUGAACCCUCAUCAGAUCUGAAUUUAACAAAUGCUUAGUCUCAGCAGCCUCCAGGGGGUGGGAGGGACGCUUAGCCUAGCAGUCAGUGACUGACUUGCACUUUUGCACACUGAUAGAAAGGAAAAGUAUGUUAUUAAUUGGUUUAGGCUGUAAUCUUACAAAGUAACGGUAAUUUAUAAAGGAGUGUAUAGUAGUAUACUGACUGCUAAGUGUACUAUACUGUUUGCUUUACUAAUCACCUAAUUCAUUGCAGUUCAUACUUAUUGACUCAAAGUUUAGAACCACAAUCCGUAGGCUUUAAGAAUUGCUUUUAAACCUUCUUAAGUGAUAGACUCUGGAAGUGGUCUUAAGGUUAGAAAAUAAUUGUCAGUAUUAAACAUGGCAUUAUUUAAGUAGUCCUGCUGCAAGAAAGGCACUUCAGUGAAUAUGUGACUAGUAAAGCUUAACUAUGUUUGGAUCUAAUAGAGUUCAUGAAAUCUGUAACUUGGGAUUGUAAAUGAAUGGAUAAAAUCGGUUAAGGCCAAGAUUAUUGAAGUGAAUGCAAUAUUAAUAGAUGCAUAUCUACGCAACGUAUUGUGGGUAAUUUUAAGACUACUGUGCCUUAACAUGUCUCCUAAAAGAAAACGUUUGUAGUAAACGAACAUUUGAAAUCCAUUUUGAUAAACCUGCUGUUAAUGUUUGUUAUCUUUUCCCUUUUGAAUGUUCUCUAACUUUGUCUUGGUAAUUGCAAUUUAACUAGGUGCGGUGGCUACUAAAGUUCGAAGGCACGAUAUGCGUGUCCAUCCUUACCAAAGGAUUGUGACCGCAGACCGAGCCGCCACCGGCAACUAACCUAUGACCUUCUGACCUCUGAACUCUUCACCCAAUGAUGACCUGACCAUGCCUGCCUGCUGAUCAGUUAACUGGUAAUCGCCUUUGCUUGCCUGUCGUCAGUGCAGCGAGCUGAGGCACUUGUCCGUUCGUCUUACCAUCUAACCAAACAAAAGACAAAGAAAUUGUCCUCCAACUCAGCUUUUGGUUUUUUUUUUUUUUGGUUUUUGUUUUUUUCUUUUUUCUGUUUGGGUGAAAGUGGUUCUAGAACCUGCACUGAAUAGUAGUAAAGCAAUAAGGCCCCAUUCUUCCCACAGCACUGAUCAUCUUUUAAUGUCCCACCCUAAGCGAACGGUAAGAAGGCCUCACUUCAGAAGGGGAGACAGAUGGCCCUUAACUACUCAGUGACAGAGGCAGUUACUGUGAGAGACUUCUAGGAAUCUUUUCUUCUCAUAGCGAGUCAAAGCUCUCUGAAUGUACUGUGUGGUGAUGCAUCAUGCAUGAACCUUUGGUCAGGGAUGUCAUUGGUGAAGUGAUUUCAAAAGUAUUCAAAAUUUGAUAUGCUGUUUAGUCACUACAGUGCCCUCAAAGGGCAGAAGUUGCAGCCUUUUUUAUAUUGCCUGCCAAAAUUUGAAGUAUUAGAAGUGUGCCAUGAGAGAAAAUCUUAAGGAAUUUUGAGAAGUAAUGCAAAGAACAAAACUGCAACACUAUUUUUAAAAAGAUAAAUAUCUGAGUUAAAAUUACUGAACCUUUAUUUUACACCUCCUUUAAAAAAUAUACGAGAACAAGGUACAUGCAUUAUGUGUCACAUUACUGGGCAAACUGUUCAAAUAUUUUUUUUAAACCUCCCUGUAUAGAAAAAAAUCAUUAAGGAUGUAAAAGCCAUGCUUGCCUAUUUGCUGUAUACAUGUAAUGAAAUUGUAGAUAAAGUGUAGUGCAUUGAAACAAAUGAACAAAAAGUAGAUACUUUUACUAUACAAGGGUGCUGGUGCAGAAAAAAAUAUAUAUAUUUUUGGAAAUGUAGCAUUUUAUACUUUCAAGUGUUAUUAAAAAAAAAAAGAACAAAGAAACCCUUUAUUUCAUGAAAUGAUUUUUUCUGGUGGUUGUCAAGAAACAAAAGACCAAAAGAGCCUUUUUGUCUUUUUUUUAUUUUUUAAGUAUUGGAAUAAGUCUAAAGAAAAGAAAGUGCCUUAUUUUCCUUCAUGGUCAUUUAGUCAACUGUCUUGUAAGAUCAGCUCCUCCCUCAGAAUACAAGUUAAUGCAUGUUACUCAGUCGCCCAGUAUGUGAAAGAAGAUGUGAGGGGAGACAAAUGAGUUGAUGGUUUGAAUUCUAUGAUUUUUGCCACGUUACCUUGACAUAAAUUUGCCAAAUCUGAUACUGUGAAAAAAUUUGAUAACUUUUCUAAUGCCUAGCAAGUAAGUUUUAAAACAUUCUUUUAAAAUCAUAAUUGAGUGCUUUUGGUUAUUGUGAUAUUUAAUGUUAGUCCAAAGGAUUCUGAAAUAAAAAUUAUGUGUGAUCUGAACAUCACUUUACAGACAAAAUUAGAGCUCUAUUUUGUUGGGGGGGGAGGGGUAUUGGAUUUUGUAUUAUUAAUUGGAGGUAAUAAUAGUAUAUUAGCAACCUUUUUCACAAAAACGAAUCUUUGUGUUUUUCAUUCUGGAAAACAAGGUUUUAAAUGAACCAAAUUUAAUCAGACUUGUUUCUGCCAUACCAGAUCACUUGGGUAGUCCAUCUCUGCUGGUUUUAGUAACCUAAGCCAACAACACCCCCUUUUUAACUUUAAAAGAAUGUGAAAAACUAGCAUCAUUGUGCAUAUAAUAGUCAACUACACGUGAGUUUAAACUUCCAAUUUCUUAAUGAAGUUCAGUUUUGUAGUUGAAGCGAUUUGUGCACAAAGCCUACAUCUAAACUCUUAAGUAAUCAUUAACUGCUCAGUACCAGACGUGGCAAAUAGCAAGUGGCGGUGGCUCCCCAGCUCGUCAGCUCCUUCCCUCUUACAUACCUUCACAGCUUCACAGUCAAAGGUCAGCAGUAAGCUCAGUAAGCACCUUUGUGGUGACCUGCUCCAUCAUCUUGUCUCACUUGGAAACCAUUUUCAGUUUAUUUACUAUGCAAUAGACAUUCAUCGUUCUGUAUUCAGCUAGCUUUAGUUUAACAUGCCACUGCUUUGUCUUUCUGUUACACAUACAGUUGUUUUGAUUUAUUUACAAUAUAUGCUGUGCCAUUUUGAUUUUUAUUUUGUUUGGUUGGUUGAAUAAAUUUGCGACACUCAAACACUUGAGGUGAUAGUUUAAAAACGAUACCAGUAUUGGAUCUAGUUUCAUCUCAACUAUGUUAUGCCUGGACAUUAUAGAUGUUUAUCAAAGGUCUUUUAUGGGGAAGAAAGUAAAUGUAUGAAAUAAAUGUGUGACAUUUAUGAGUAAUGUUGGCUCUGAACAAACGUUUGAAAACUUAGUUGACAAAAUUUUGGAUCAACUGAAAAAAAGCAUGACUUUUGAAAUCUCUGAAUGCCUUGGUUCUCAGUAUUAUUCUUUAUUGAAUUUAUUUCUUAUUAAAAUAUGUAGUUUUUAAGACUUUUUUUCUGACAGUAUUAUGUAAUUUUUUAGUGCGGGUAGAUGGGAGUGUCGCUUGUAUGUUACCGUACAGCUGACAUGUAUUUUUGUCUAUUCUUUAUUAUCUCAGUAGUUUCAUGCUAUCUAUGUAUCAUAACCAACCUAUUGCCUAUGAGAAACAUGUAAGAUAAUGUAUUUACAGCCAUUGUUACAAGUUUAUAAUGUAUUUUUCUAUCUUGUUUUAUAUGUAUGUUAUAUAACAUUCAAAAAGAAUUUUUUUCUUGAUUGAGAAAAGGAUACAAAAUGCAAAAUCCACAAUUUUGAUAACUGAAAAUUGCCAAUUGUUUUGCAGUACUUUAUUAUAUUGGGUGUCUUGUCUUUCUUGGGCUUUUAGUUAGCUAAUGAAUGAAUACAUUAGACACUUUCGGGUUUUAGUUGGGAUUUUACAUAGCUUGCAUUUUAAUUCUUUGGUUCUUUGCUGUUUCUAUUAACCCAUAGCAUUAUUUUAAUAAAUGUUAUAAUACCAACCUA